rnacentral:rRNA from 1 species
UACGGAGGGGGCUAGCGUUGUUCGGAAUUACUGGGCGUAAAGCGCACGUAGGCGGCUUUGUAAGUUAGAGGUGAAAGCCCGGGGCUCAACUCCGGAAUUGCCUUUAAGACUGCAUCGCUUGAACGUCGGAGAGGUGAGUGGAAUUCCGAGUGUAGAGGUGAAAUUCGUAGAUAUUCGGAAGAACACCAGUGGCGAAGGCGGCUCACUGGACGACUGUUGACGCUGAGGUGCGAAAGCGUGGGGAGCAAACAGG